rnacentral:rRNA from 1 species
CUACAUGAAGUCGGAGUUGCUAGUAAUCGCGGAUCAGAAUGCCGCGGUGAAUGCGUUCCCGGGUCUUGUACACACCGCCCGUCACACCAUGGAAGUUGGGGCGCCCGAAGUUGCCUAAGAAAUAAGGUACCUAAGGCGAAACCAAUGACUGGGGUGAAGUCGUAACAAGGUACC